rnacentral:rRNA from 1 species
GUAGUCAUAUGCUUGUCUCAAAGAUUAAGCCAUGCAUGUCUAAGUAUAAGCAACUUGUACAGUGAAACUGCGAAUGGCUCAUUAAAUCAGUUAUCGUUUAUUUGAUAAUCCUUUACUACAUGGAUACCUGUGGUAAUUCUAGAGCUAAUACAUGCUUCAAGGAGUGGCUUUCGUCACUCUGCACUUAUUAGAUAAAAAACCAAUGCCCCUUUGGGGCUCCUUGGUGAUUCAUAAUAAUUUAGCGGACCGCAUGGCCUUGAGCCGGCGGUGGAUCAUUCAAAUUUCUGCCCUAUCAACUUUCGAUGGUAGGAUAGUGGCCUACCAUGGUUUCAACGGGUAACGGGGAAU